rnacentral:sRNA from 1 species
AGUGUUCGCGGGAGCGCCGCACCUACACCAGCCAACCCAGAUCCCGAGGUCCGACAGCGUCCGGCCCAGAUCCCCACGCCUGCCAGGAGCAAGCCGAGAGCCAGCCGGCCGGCGCACUCCGACUCCGAGCAGUCUCUGUCCUUCGGCCCGAGCCCCGCGCCCUUUCCGGGACCCCUGCCCCGCGGGCAGCGCUGCCACCCUGCCGGCCAUGGAGACCCCGUCCCAGCGGCGCGCCACCCGCAGCGGGGCGCAGGCCAGCUCCACUCCGCUGUCGCCCACCCGCAUCACCCGGCUGCAGGAGAAGGAGGACCUGCAGGAGCUCAAUGAUCGCUUGGCGGUCUACAUCGACCGUGUGCGCUCUGCUGAACUCCAAGGAGGCCGCACUGAGCACUGCUCUCAGUGAGAAGCGCACGCUGGAGGGCGAGCUGCAUGAUCUGCGGGGCCAGGUGGCCAAGCUUGAGGCAGCCCUAGGUGAGGCCAAGAAGCAACUUCAGGAUGAGAUGCUGCGGCGGGUGGAUGCUGAGAACAGGCUGCAGACCAUGAAGGAGGAA